rnacentral:rRNA from 1 species
GACAGAGGGUGCAAACGUUGCUCGGAAUCACUGGGCGUAAAGGGCGUGUAGGCGGGCAGAUAAGUCGGGCGGGAAAUCCCCAGGCUCAACCUGGGAACUGCACUCGAAACUGUUUGUCUUGAGUAUCGGAGAGGAAAGCGGAAUACCUGGUGUAGCGGUGAAAUGCGUAGAUAUCCGGAGGAACACCGGUGGCGAAGGCGGCUUCCUGGACCGAUACUGACGCUGAGGCGCGAAAGCUAGGGGAGCAAACGGG